AGCAGCCGCGGUAAUUCCAGCUCCAAUAGCGUAUAUUAAAGUUGUUGCAGUUAAAAAGCUCGUAGUUGAAUUUCGGGAUCAAUAUAUCGGUCGUGCCUUGGUACGUACUGGUAUCAUUGGUUUCUCCUUUCUGACGAACCAUGAUGUCAUUAAUUUGGUGUUAUGGGAAGUUAGGACUGUUACUUUGAAAAAAUUAGAGUGUUUAAAGCAGGCUUUGGCUUGAAUACAUUAGCAUGGAAUAAUGAAAUAGGACGUUCGAACCUAUUUUGUUGGUUUCUAGGAUCAACGUAAUGAUUAAUAGGGAUAGUUGGGGGCAUUAGUAUUCAAUUGUCAGAGGUGAAAUUCUUGGAUUUAUUGAAGACUAACUACUGCGAAAGCAUUUGCCAAGGAUGUUUUCAUUAAUCAAGAACGAAAGUUAGGGGAUCGAAGACGAUCAGAUACCGUCGUAGUCUUAACCAUAAACUACGCCGACUAGGGAUCGGAUGAUGUUAAUUUUUUAAUGACUCAUUCGGCGCCUUAC
rnacentral:misc_RNA from 1 species